GACGAACGCUGGCGGCAGGCCUAACACAUGCAAGUCGAACGGUAGCACAGGAGAGCUUGCUCUCUGGGUGACGAGUGGCGGACGGGUGAGUAAUGCAUGGGGAGCUGCCCAAUCGAGGGGGAUACCAGCUGGAAACGGCUGCUAAUACCGCAUACGCCCUGAGGGGGAAAGGUGGGGACCUUCGGGCCUACCGCGAUUGGAUGCACCCAUGUGGGAUUAGCUAGUUGGUGAGGUAACGGCUCACCAAGGCGACGAUCUCUAGCUGGUCUGAGAGGAUGACCAGCCACACUGGAACUGAGACACGGUCCAGACUCCUACGGGAGGCAGCAGUGGGGAAUAUUGCACAAUGGGGGAAACCCUGAUGCAGCCAUGCCGCGUGUGUGAAGAAGGCCUUCGGUUGUAAGCACUUUCAGUGGGAGGAAGGGGUGGAGUGCCUAAUACGCAUCAUCAUUGACGUUACCCACACGAAGAAGACACCGG
rnacentral:rRNA from 1 species